GCCAUUAUAGCAAUAAAGGAAGAGCAAACAAAUGCUGCAGAGCUCGAAAGUCCAGACCCUGUAGGAACUGUACCAUCAACAAUAACAUCAAGUCCAACAGGUUUACCAACAUCUAUCCCUUUCAACUUGGCAUAUUCAUAGAAACCCUUGUACCCACAAAUGAAAUAAUGACCCCAUCUGUGAUUCUUCAGAUCAACCUCCUGUAGAGGAUCAGCAGGGUAAGUACACAAGGAGUACUUAUCACUAUUCACAUUGGCAAUUCUAAGAAGUUUCUGAGGUUCACUAGAGUCGUGUUUUCGUAUAGCCACAAUUGUAUCUUGCCGAAUUGCCAUAGGCAAAACAGAGUAACCCUCAUAGUCUAUGUGUUCUCCAAUCAGAUUCACUCUCCCUGGGGAUCGAGCGUAGACAUGAGGGGAUUGGCCAAAUAAGUCUAUAAACUUGGCUUUCAAAUUCUUGAAUCGAAGUUGAGCCUCUUCAAGCUGUGAUCCACUACCAUAAACAGGUUCAAGAUCAGAGAAAAUUGGAAUUGGUAAUUCCUCGUGUCUAGCCAUUCAAUUUCAAUUUUUGUGCAGCAACAGUGAAAUCUGAAAGAAGAAUUACAAGGAAUAUACAGAUGAAAAGAGAGAAAGAGACG
rnacentral:misc_RNA from 1 species